rnacentral:rRNA from 1 species
CAGUCGCCACGGGAAUACGUAGGGUGCGAGCGUUAAUCGGAAUUACUGGGCGUAAAGCGUGCGCAGGCGGUUAUAUAAGACAGAUGUGAAAUCCCCAGGCUCAACCUGGGACCUGCAUUUGUGACUGUAUAGCUAGAGUACGGUAGAGGGGGAUGGAAUUCCGCGUGUAGCAGUGAAAUGCGUAGAUAUGCGGAGGAACACCGAUGGCGAAGGCAAUCCCCUGGACCUGUACUGACGCUCAUGCACGAAAGCGUGGGGAGCAAACAGGAUUAGAUACCCGCGUAGUCCCUGUCUCUUAUAC